rnacentral:misc_RNA from 1 species
CGGUCUCCUUCAACCUUAACUCAAUUCCUGAAUAGCGAGAGUCUGUCGGUAUGAGUUUGGCCCAGACUUCGUCUUCGGAAAGUGUAGGAGUAGAGCUUUCUCCCUUUUCCAUGGCUGUGGAAGGACGACCAACUUCAGGUGGUCAUAUCUAUCUUUUAAAUUGUUUCACAACACCAGAGGAUCCUUAACAGUGAGAUAUUCCAUUUUCAAACCUUCAUCAAGGUAAUGACGGAGAAAUAUCAUGGCCUUAGCACGGUUUUGAUUCGAUGCUUGAUUAUUUUCUUGGAUUGUGUCUGCUAGACCCAUCGCAUCAAGAUGAAUUUCUGCAUCGAG